UACGAAGGGGGCUAGCGUUGUUCGGAAUUACUGGGCGUAAAGCGCACGUAGGCGGAUACUUAAGUCAGGGGUGAAAUCCCGGGGCUCAACCCCGGAACUGCCUUUGAUACUGGGUAUCUCGAGUCCGGAAGAGGUGAGUGGAAUUCCGAGUGUAGAGGUGAAAUUCGUAGAUAUUCGGAGGAACACCAGUGGCGAAGGCGGCUCACUGGUCCGGUACUGACGCUGAGGUGCGAAAGCGUGGGGAGCGAACAGG
rnacentral:rRNA from 1 species